rnacentral:tRNA from 2 species
GGCGUGGUGGCGGAGUGGUUAUCGCGCAAGACUAGAAAUCUUGUUCCUUCGGGAGCGCAGGUUAGUCUUGCCUUAACUG